UACAGAGGGUGCGAGCGUUAAUCGGAAUUACUGGGCGUAAAGCGUGCGUAGACGGUCAAGUAAGUCGGGUGUGAAAGCCCCGGGCUCAACCUUGGAAUUGCAUUCGAGACUGCGCAGCUGGGGUGCGGAAGAGGGAAGCGGAAUUUCCGGUGUAGCGGUGAAAUGCGUAGAUAUCGGAAGGAACAUCAGUGGCGAAAGCGGCUUCCUGGUCCAGCACCGACGUUCAGGCACGAAAGCGUGGGGAGCAAACAGG
rnacentral:rRNA from 1 species